ACGAACGCUGGCGGCGUGCUUAACACAUGCAAGUCGAACGGUGAUAUCGGGGCUUGCUCUGGUUGAUCAGUGGCGAACGGGUGAGUAACACGUGAGUAACCUGCCCCUGACUCUGGGAUAACUUCGGGAAAUCGGAGCUAAUACCGGAUAUGAGACACCUCCGCAUGGUGAGUGUCUGGAAAGAUUUAUUGGUCUGGGAUGGACUCGCGGCCUAUCAGCUUGUUGGUGAGGUAAUGGCUCACCAAGGCGACGACGGGUAGCCGGCCUGAGAGGGCGACCGGCCACACUGGGACUGAGAUACGGCCCAGACUCCUACGGGAGGCAGCAGUGGGGAAUAUUGCACAAUGGGCGAAAGCCUGAUGCAGCGACGCCGCGUGAGGGAUGGAGGCCUUCGGGUUGUAAACCUCUUUCAGCAGGGAAGAAGUGGUCGGGUUUUCUCGGUCGUGACGGUACCUGCAGAAGAAGCGCCGGCUAACUACGUGCCAGCAGCCGCGGUAAUACGUAGGGCGCAAGCGUUGUCCGGAAUUAUUGGGCGUAAAGAGCUCGUAGGCGGUUUGUCGCGUCUGCUGUGAAAACUCGAGGCUCAACCUCGGGCUUGCAGUGGGUACGGGCAGACUAGAGUGCGGUAGGGGAGACUGGAAUUCCUGGUGUAGCGGUGGAAUGCGCAGAUAUCAGGAGGAACACCGAUGGCGAAGGCAGGUCUCUGGGCCGCAACUGACGCUGAGGAGCGAAAGCAUGGGGAGCGAACAGGAUUAGAUACCCUGGUAGUCCAUGCCGUAAACGUUGGGCACUAGGUGUGGGGCUCAUUCCACGAGUUCCGUGCCGCAGCUAACGCAUUAAGUGCCCCGCCUGGGGAGUACGGCCGCAAGGCUAAAACUCAAAGAAAUUGACGGGGGCCCGCACAAGCGGCGGAGCAUGCGGAUUAAUUCGAUGCAACGCGAAGAACCUUACCAAGGCUUGACAUAUACCGGAAAAGUGCAGAGAUGUGCUCCCCGCAAGGUCGGUAUACAGGUGGUGCAUGGUUGUCGUCAGCUCGUGUCGUGAGAUGUUGGGUUAAGUCCCGCAACGAGCGCAACCCUCGUCCUAUGUUGCCAGCGGGUCAUGCCGGGGACUCAUAGGAGACUGCCGGGGUCAACUCGGAGGAAGGUGGGGAUGACGUCAAAUCAUCAUGCCCCUUAUGUCUUGGGCUUCACGCAUGCUACAAUGGCCGGUACAAAGGGCUGCGAUACCGCGAGGUGGAGCGAAUCCCAAAAAGCCGGUCUCAGUUCGGAUUGGGGUCUGCAACUCGACCCCAUGAAGUCGGAGUCGCUAGUAAUCGCAGAUCAGCAACGCUGCGGUGAAUACGUUCCCGGGCCUUGUACA
rnacentral:rRNA from 1 species